ACUGCGAACAAACCUCAA
rnacentral:sRNA from 1 species